rnacentral:rRNA from 1 species
AAACCAACAGGGAUUACCUUAGUAACGGCGAGUGAAGCGGUAAAAGCUCAAAUUUGAAAUCUGGUACUUUCAGUGCCCGAGUUGUAAUUUGUAGAAUUUGUCUUUGAUUAGGUCCUUGUCUAUGUUCCUUGGAACAGGACGUCAUAGAGGGUGAGAAUCCCGUUUGGCGAGGAUACCUUUUCUCUGUAAGACUUUUUCGAAGAGUCGAGUUGUUUGGGAAUGCAGCUCAAAGUGGGUGGUAAAUUCCAUCUAAAGCUAAAUAUUGGCGAGAGACCGAUAGCGAACAAGUACAGUGAUGGAAAGAUGAAAAGAACUUUGAAAAGAGAGUGAAAAAGUACGUGAAAUUGUUGAAAGGGAAGGGCAUUUGAUCAGACAUGGUGUUUUUUGCAUGCACUCGCCUCUCGUGGGCUUGGGCCUCUCAAAAAUUUCACUGGGCCAACAUCAAUUCUGGCAGUAGGAUAAAUCAUUAAGAAUGUAGCUACUUCGGUAGUGUUAUAGCUUUUUUGGAAUACUGUUAGCCGGGAUUU